rnacentral:rRNA from 1 species
UACAGGGGGUGCAAACGUUGCUCGGAAUUAUUGUGCGUAAAGCGCUCGCAGGUGGUUCGUCGCGUCGUGCGUGAAAGCCCCCGGCUCAACUGGGGAGUGUCGUGCGAUACGGGCGAACUGGAGGCCAGUAGGGGGAUGCGGAAUUCCGGGUGUAGUGGUGGAAUGCGUAGAGAUCCGGAGGAACACCAGCGGCGAAGGCGGCAUCCUGGACUGGUCCUGACACUCAGGAGCGAAAGCGUGGGGAGCGAUCCGG